GCCCGGAUGGUCUAGUCGUAUGAUUCCUUGUUAGGGUCUGUGGCCUGAGUGGUCAUGUGACUUCGAGGAGGUCCCGCGUUCAAUUCGCGGUUCGGGCC